UACAGAGGGGGCAAGCGUUAUUCGGAAUUAUUGGGCGUAAAGGGCGCGUAGGCGGCUUGGCAAGUGGAUGGUGAAAUCCCUCGGCUUAACCGAGGAACGGCCGUCCAAACUGCUUCGCUUGAGACCGGGAGAGGUGAGUGGAAUUCCCAGUGUAGCGGUGAAAUGCGUAGAUAUUGGGAGGAACACCAGUGGCGAAGGCGGCUCACUGGACCGGUACUGACGCUGAAGCGCGAAAGCGUGGGGAGCAAACGGGG
rnacentral:rRNA from 1 species